GCAUCCGUAGUUCAAUGGAUAGAAUGUCAGUUUCCGAAGCUGAUGAUACAGGUUCGAUUCCUGUCGGGUGCACCA
rnacentral:tRNA from 2 species